rnacentral:rRNA from 1 species
UACGGAGGAUGCGAGCGUUAUCCGGAUUCAUUGGGUUUAAAGGGUUCGUAGGCGGGCUUUUAAGUCAGCGGUGAAAUACCAAGGCUCAACCUUGGGGCUGCCGAUGAUACUGAGGGCCUUGAGAGACAUCGACGCCGGCGGAAUGUGGCAAGUAGCGGUGAAAUGCAUAGAUAUGCCACAGAACACCGAUAGCGAAGGCAGCUGGCGAGAUGUAGUCUGACGCUGAGGAACGAAAGCGUGGGGAUCAAACAGG